rnacentral:rRNA from 1 species
AUUGAACGCUGGCGGCAGGCUUAACACAUGCAAGUCGAGCGGGGUGAUGGUGCUUGCACUAUCACUUAGCGGCGGACGGGUGAGUAAUGCCUAGGAAUCUGCCUAUUAGUGGGGGACAACAUCUCGAAAGGGAUGCUAAUACCGCAUACGUCCUACGGGAGAAAGCAGGGGAUCACUUGUGACCUUGCGCUAAUAGAUGAGCCUAAGUGGGAUUAGCUAGUUGGUGGGGUAAAGGCCUACCAAGGCGACGAUCUGUAGCGGGUCUGAGAGGAUGAUCCGCCACACUGGGACUGGGACACGGCCCAGACUCCUACGGGAGGCAGCAGUGGGGAAUAUUGGACAAUGGGGGGAACCCUGAUCCAGCCAUGCCGCGUGUGUGAAGAAGGCCUUAUGGUUGUAAAGCACUUUAAGCGAGGAGGAGGCUCUUUUGGUUAAUACCCAAGAUGAGUGGACGUUACUCGCAGAAUAAGCACCGGCUAACUCUGUGCCAGCCGCCGCGGUAA